GAAGGUAUAGCUAAGUGGUAGAGUGUGUGCUUAACAUGCAUUAGAUCCUGGCUUCAAUACCCAGUGCCAUUU
rnacentral:tRNA from 1 species